rnacentral:rRNA from 1 species
CAGCAGCCACGGUAAGACGAGCCGUGCGAACGUUAUUCGGAAUCACUGGGCUUAAAGCGCGUGUAGGCGGGCCGCCGCGUCGGUCGCUGAAAUCCCCCGGCUCAACCGGGGAACUGGCGUCGAAACGGGCGGCCUGGAGGGGGGUAGGGGGGCCUGGAACUUCCGGUGGAGCGGUGAAAUGCGUUGAGAUCGGAAGGAACGCCCGUGGCGAAAGCGAGGCCCUGGACCCUUACUGACGCUGAGACGCGAAAGCCAGGGGAGCGAACGGGAUUAGAUACCCCUGUAGUCCCUGUCUCUUAUA